rnacentral:rRNA from 1 species
GACCCCAGGUCAGCGGGAUUACCCGCUG